CCUACGGGUGGCUGCAGUGGGGAAUAUUGGACAAUGGGCGAAAGCCUGAUCCAGCCAUGCCGCGUGUGUGAAGAAGGCCUUCGGGUUGUAAAGCACUUUCAGUGGGGAAGAAAGCCUUGGGGCUAAUACCCUCGAGGAAGGACAUCACCCACAGAAGAAGCACCGGCUAACUCCGUGCCAGCAGCCGCGGUAAUACGGGGGGUGCGAGCGUUAAUCGGAAUUACUGGGCGUAAAGCGCGCGUAGGCGGUCUGAUAAGCCGGUUGUGAAAGCCCCGGGCUCAACCUGGGAACGGCAUCCGGAACUGUCAGGCUAGAGUGCAGGAGAGGAAGGUAGAAUUCCCGGUGUAGCGGUGAAAUGCGUAGAGAUCGGGAGGAAUACCAGUGGCGAAGGCGGCCUUCUGGACUGACACUGACGCUGAGGUGCGAAAGCGUGGGUAGCAAACAGGAUUAGAUACCGAGUAGUC
rnacentral:rRNA from 1 species